rnacentral:rRNA from 1 species
UACGGAGGGGGCUAGCGUUGUUCGGAAUUACUGGGCGUAAAGCGCACGUAGGCGGCUUUGUAAGUUAGAGGUGAAAGCCCGGGGCUCAACCCCGGAAUUGCCUUUAAGACUGCAUCGCUAGAAUCGUGGAGAGGUGAGUGGAAUUCCGAGUGUAGAGGUGAAAUUCGUAGAUAUUCGGAAGAACACCAGUGGCGAAGGCGACUCACUGGACACAUAUUGACGCUGAGGUGCGAAAGCGUGGGGAGCAAACAGG